rnacentral:rRNA from 1 species
GACGAACGCUGGCGGCGUGCUUAACACAUGCAAGUCGAACGGAAAGGCCCUGCUUGCAGGGUACUCGAGUGGCGAACGGGUGAGUAACACGUGGGUGAUCUGCCCUGCACUUCGGGAUAAGCCUGGGAAACUGGGUCUAAUACCGGAUAGGAGCCAUUUUUAGUGUGAUGGUUGGAAAGUUUUUUCGGUGUAGGAUGAGCUCGCGGCCUAUCAGCUUGUUGGUGGGGUAAUGGCCUACCAAGGCGGCGACGGGUAGCCGGCCUGGGAGGGUGGACGGCCACAUGGGGGCGGAGAUACGGCCCAGACUCCUGGGGGGGGCAGCAGUGGGGAUUAUGGAACAAGGGAAGGAAGCAUGAGGCGGCGCCGCGGGGUGGGGGAUGACGGCCUUGGGGUAGAAAACUCCUUUGGCGGGGGACGAAGCUUUUUGGGGCGGUACCUAGAGAAAAAGCACGGGCUAUCUACG